rnacentral:rRNA from 1 species
GACGAACGCUGGCGGCGUGCUUAACACAUGCAAGUCGAACGGGAGGAAAAGAGAAGCUUGCUUCUUUUUGAAUCUAGUGGCAAACGGGUGAGUAACACGUAAACAACCUGCCUUCAGGAUGGGGACAACAGACGGAAACGACUGCUAAUACCGAAUGUGUUCCGGAGACCGCAUGAUUUCCGGAAGAAAGGAUGGCCUCUAUUUAUAAGCUAUCGCCUGAAGAGGGGUUUNCGUCUGAUUAGGCAGUUGGUGAGGUAACGGCCCACCAAACCUACGAUCAGUAGCCGGUCUGAGAGGAUGAACGGCCACACUGGAACUGAGACACGGUCCAGACUCCUACGGGAGGCAGCAGUGGGAAUCUUCGCAAUGGCG